rnacentral:hammerhead_ribozyme from 1 species
AUCCAUCUGAUGAGUCCCAAGUAGGAUGAAACGCGUGUUCUGGAU